UACAGAGGUCUCAAGCGUUGUUCGGGAUUCAUUGGGCGUAAAGGGUGCGUAGGUGGCGUCGUAAGUCAGGUGUGAAAUCUCGGAGCUUAACUCCGAAACUGCAUUCGAUACUGCCGUGCUUGAGGACUGGAGAGGAGACUGGAAUUUACGGUGUAGCGGUGAAAUGCGUAGAUAUCGUGAAGGAAGACCAGUGGCGGAAGGCGGGUCUCUGGACAGUUCCUGACGCUGAGGCACGAAGGCCAGGGGAGCAAACGGG
rnacentral:rRNA from 1 species